GGCGAGCCUUCGCCCGGCUGAGGGGCCGGGUACUGCGUGCCCGGAAAGGUGGUCCGGGCCUCGAAGAGAGCUUUCGGAGGGAGGGCCGUCGGGCCAGCCGCUGUGUUCGGCUUCUUACUCAAUAAUAAUAAUUAACAAGUCUACACUUCCACGUUCUCUUGCUCGUGUAGUGCCAGGCACUGUUAGAGACUUUGAAUAAUAAUGCAAGUACUUAUUGUAAACAUGAUGUUUAUGGUGACUGAUACGUGCUAGGCACUAUGACAGAUCGUAAAUGAUAAUUAUAAAUAUAAUAAACUACCAAAUUAUUAUUUACUUAUUUUUUUGCCACUCUGGUGAUGCUUUCAAUAACAACAAACAACUGUCAUAAAUAAAAGCUGCUCCACAUUAAAUCUUUGCCAUGCAACCAGCACCGUCCUGGAUCCUUCGCUAAUAGACACCAUUUAUUCAUGCAACAAAGGCUACAGAAUACAAUGAUGAGAAAAAUUUACCUUAUUCCACCUUCCUGCUAGAAUCGAGUGAAGAGACAUCCUUUGAGUAAGUAACCACACAGAUACUGAGGCUGGCUUGCUAGAGCAGCAAUUCAUUCCCUCACCACAGUGAGGACGGCACUGUGCAGUCUCCUCCCGUUGUUUACUUUUCAAGAGUCAGACAGCAAUCUCAUCAUCAUUCCUUCACUGCUGCUGGCCAAGGGAUUCACAUGAAGCUCUCACACAUCUUGCAACAAUGAAGCAGUGACACCAGUAUUUUCCUUGGUGCACAGAUAAGGAGCCUGAGGCACAGGGAGAUCUAUUAGCCCAAGAGCACGUAGCAAGGGCUUACGGCACAGCAGGGACUCAACAGAUGUAAGAGCGAGUGAAGAAAUGAAGGAACGAAUGCAUGAAUAAAGAUCCAGGAUCACCAGUGGUGGAAGUUUCAGG
rnacentral:lncRNA from 1 species